UGUAGCGGCGUAGGCCCGUGCCCCUGCUCGCGCUGCAGCCCGUGGAAGGGUUGCGUCCAGUGUAUCCUCCAGAUCUUGCGGUAGUCCUCUCGUAUCUGUGCGCGCGCGGGAGGGACAGCGGCGGCGACGGCCGGAGGUGUACGUUGCUUCCUCUACUGAAGUCUUGAAACCCCUGAAAGUCAUCCCUGAGGGUUGGAGUUAACUUCUUCUACACUCCUGUUAAUGUUGAUAUUUUGGCCUCCUCCCAUGAAUCACAAAUGUUCUUAAUGGCAUCUAGAAUGACAGAGGCUCCAGACCCAGGCUGGAGUGCAGUGGCACGAUCUCAUCUCACUUCAACCUUCGCCUCCUGGGUUUAAGUGAUUUUUCUGCCUCAGCCUCCCAAGAACUAACCUGUCAGGUACUGAGAGGCUUUGAAGAUGGCUCUUCAGGUUGGGGACACGCCUUUGUUAAGGGGCAAGACUGCUGCCUGGAGUUGAUUCACAUACUCAGAGGUAGGAUUGACCACAUAAAGAAAAUGCUUUCAAGUCUUUGUUCUGAAUUUUCUUCGACCCUCCGUAAGUUUGGGGAAAGUCCCACCCUCAGUAACCACCUCAGUAACCAUCCCAGACACAGUGUAGAGGAUAUGAACAGGCAGAGUGGGGCAUCUGGAAAACAGGUGCAUCGUGGGGAGGCCAAUCUGAGGAGCCAUUAGUAUUAAAAUGGAAAGUUCAAGAGAUACAAAAAUUCUAAAAAAAACUUUAUCAAAUCAAAUCCAAUAAUGUAUUACAAGGAUAAUGAAUCAUAACAAAAUGGAUUUUAUCCCAGGAAUGCAGGAUUGGCUUGGCAUUAGAAAAUCAAUCAUGCAAUUCAACAUAUUAACAAACCAAAAAGGAAAACCCAUAUGAUUAUUGCAAUAAAUGCAGAAAAAGCAUUUGACAACAUCUGACAUCCAUUCCCGAGUUUAAAAAACAAAAACUCGUGGCAAAUGAGAAAUAGAAGGGAACUUCUUCAAUCUGAUGUGGGCAUCUGCAAAAUAACCCACAGCUAACAUUAUAUUUACUGGUGAAAACUGAGUGCUUUCCCCCCAAGAUCAGAAACAAAACAGAGAUGUCCACUCUCACCACUUCUAUUCAGCAUUAUACUGAAGGUUCUAGGCAGUGCAGUCAGGCAAGAAAAAGAAGCAAAAGGCAUCCAAAUUGGAAAGGAAGAAGUAAAACUGUAUUUACAGAAAAUGUGAUCAUCUAUGUAGAAAAUCCAACUGAGUCCACCAAAAAUAAAACCCUACUAGAACUAAUAAGUGAAUCCAACAAGUUGCAGGUUAUAAGAGCAAUAUACAAAAAUUAGUUGUAUAUCCAUAUACUAGCAAUGAACAAUUGGAUACAGAAAAUUUUAAAAUACCAUUUACAAAAACAUCUAAAAAUGUGACUUAGGAAUAAAUCUCACAAAAGAUGUGGGAGACCUAUACACUUGUAUUGCUGAGAGAAAGAGGAGCCAAAUUAAUGAAAAACAUUCGUGGGUUGGAAAACUUAGUAUUGUUAUAAUGUCAAUUCUCCCCAAAUUGAUCCAUAGAUUAAAUGUCAUUCCUAUAAAAAUCUCAGCAGGCUUUUUGCAGAAAUUGACAAUCUGAUCCUAAAAUUCCUAUGGAAAGACACUACAGUGCCUGGUACAGUGUGUAGAAACCCUGGGUAGGGUUCAGCUUUCCCAGAGAAUUAGGAUUAUCAGUGGAGCACAUAUAGAGAGGAAAAACAGUGACAGGGCCUCCAGUUGCAAACAGGUCUACAAAGGAUAUGAGCAAGCAAUUUCCUGAAGCGGAAAACCCAAAAAGCUAACAAGCCUAAUAAAAGAUGUUCAAAUGUAUUAACAGAAAAGUCUAAAAUAAAACUACAGUGAGAUUUUACUUUAGAUUUCACAAACAGACAAAAUUUUAAAAAGCUGGAUCAUGCCAAGUCCUUUAGUGGGGAUAUGGGGGCAUAGGGACCCUCUUGCAUUGGGAGUGGGGACUUUGGCAGCCAUCCCAGAGAUGAAUGUGACACUAUCCCCAUGGGCCCUCCAAAUAAAUUCUCACACAGGUCCAUAAAGGGUCAUGUAGAAGAAUGUUCAUUAUGGUGUGGUUUGCAACAGUGGGAAGUCGAAGGCAUGCUGGGUGUCCAUCACCAGGGGCAUACACAGGGAAAUAGUGAUGGGUGCACUCCACAGAGGACCUCUUAACCUUUACACCAGUGAGUUAGAUGUACACAGGGCAACACGAUGAUCUUCAACACAUAGCACUGAGUGAAAAAGAAUGAACCGUAUAACAAUACUACUCAAAAGUUACAAAUAUAUGCACAUAUACACCAAAUACACACCUUACAGAAAUGCACACAAAUGGAUGUAAGUUAAACACUUUUGAAAAAUGCCUAUGUCAGGGAGAGGGGAGGAAUGGGAGCGUGGAUGACAGGGAAUAAAUAAAACAAGAAAGCGGUGGAAUUGCCAGGCACAGUGGCUCACACCUGUAAUCCCAGCACUUCGAGAGGCCGAGGUGGGCAGAUCGCUUGAGCCUAGGAGUUCAAUUCCAGCCUGAGCAACAUAGUGAGUUCUCAUCUCUACAAAAAAUACAAAAUUAGCCAAAUGUGGUGGUGCAUGCCUGUGGUCCCAGCUACCAGAGGGGCUGAGGUGGGAGGAUCGCUUGAGCCCAGGAGUCUUGAGACUGCAGUGGGCCAAGAUUGCAUCACUGCACUCCAGCCUGGGUGACAGAGUGAGACCCUGUCAAAAAAAAAAAAAAAGAAAAAAA
ensembl:lncRNA